rnacentral:rRNA from 1 species
CCUUACCUACCCUUGACAUGCCAGGAACUUGCCAGAGAUGGCUUGGUGCUCGAAAGAGAGCCUGGACACAGGUGCUGCAUGGCCGUCGUCAGCUCGUGUCGUGAGAUGUUGGGUUAAGUCCCGCAACGAGCGCAACCCUUAUCAUUAGUUGCUACGCAAGGGCACUCUAAUGAGACUGCCGGUGACAAACCGGAGGAAGGUGGGGAUGACGUCAAGUCCUCAUGGCCCUUAUGGGUAGGGCUUCACACGUCAUACAAUGGUCGGUACAGAGGGUUGCCAAGCCGCGAGGUGGAGCCAAUCCCAGAAAGCCGAUCGUAGUCCGGAUUGUUCUCUGCAACUCGAGAGCAUGAAGUCGGAAUCGCUAGUAAUCGCGGAUCAGCAUGUCGCGGUGAAUACGUUCCCGGGUCUUGUACACACCGCCCGUCACACCAUGGGA